AGCGUAGACGGCAUGGCAAGUCUGAUGUGAAAGGCCGGGGCUCAACCCCGGGACUGCAUUGGAAACUGUCAACCUAGAGUACCGGAGGGGUAAGUGGAAUUCCUAGUGUAGCGGUGAAAUGCGUAGAUAUUAGGAGGAACACCAGUGGCGAAGGCGGCCUGCUGGGCUUUAACUGACGCUGAGGCACGAAAGCGUGGGUAGCAAACA
rnacentral:rRNA from 1 species